AAAGUAAAUACUUAUAUUAACAUAAGUAUACAUUUGUGCUAACAAAUGUACAUUUUAUACUUAUUAAAAGUAACUAUAAUCUUAAUAAAAAAAGUAGUUAUUCAUAUGAAGAAAUGUAGUAUUUCAAAAUUAUUACUUUUUUCACGAAAAUUAUUAUUUUUACUCACGAAAUCUAAUAAUUUUAAUUAUUUGAUUAAGUAAUUGUAGUUGUAAUGAAAAAUAACCAUUGAUGUGAAUAAAGAUAAUAUUAAAAAAAAUGAAGAAAAUAGAAAAAAAAUUAAAAAGU
rnacentral:lncRNA from 1 species